ACGAACGCUGGCGGCAUGCCUAACACCUGCCAGUCGAACGAGACCUUCGGGUCUAGUGGCGCACGGGUGCGUCACGCGUGGGAACCUGCCCUUAGGUUCGGAAUAACUCCCCGAAAGGGGUGCUAAUACCGGAUAAUGUCUUCGGACCAAAGAUUUCUCGCCUUUGGAUGGGCCCGCGUUGGAUUAGCUCGUUGGUAGGGUAAAAGCCUACCAAGGCGACGAUCCAUAGCUGGGCUGAGAGGAUGAUCAGCCACACUGGGACUGAGACACGGCCCAGACUCCUACGGGAGGCAGCAGUGGGGAAUAUUGGACAAUGGGCGAAAGCCUGAUCCAGCAAUGCCGCGUGAGUGAUGAAGGCCUUAGGGUUGUAAAGCUCUUUUACCCGGGAUGAUAAUGACAGUACCGGGAGAAUAAGCUCCGGCUAACUCCGUG
rnacentral:rRNA from 1 species